GAGCUACCCCUCCCUCCUCCCUUAUCUAACGAUAAGGGGUUUGGGUGGGGGAAAAUCACAAAAGUAGCCAUUUGUGAUAGAAAUGAAGGUCAGAAUCAUUCAAAACACAUCAAAAACCAUUGGAAAAACAUAAUUUCAGCCUAACCUAAAUCUAACUUAGAUUUUAUCGGAAAUUAAUCAUUUGUGGAAGAAAUGCUACGGAAGAAACGAGUCCUAGAAUUGUUUAAACUACUGAUUGCAAAACUUAAAAUCCCAAAAUUUGCAGGAUGACCAAAAUGAUGAUACCUGGUAAUACACCCCUUUGAAAACCUUAUCUAAUGUCUCCUAACUUUUCAAAAUGCUAAGACUCACUUUUCUGUUUAUGGAUCUCUCCUCAUCUGAGCACCGAAAACAACGCCAUCACCUACUAAACAGUGAAAACACGAAUAAGUUGCCAUGGGUCUUGGAGUAUUCAACUGUGUCACUAUUACUCCUUGGUGCAUUGUUGCUGGAAUUUGGCAGAUGUUAGCAGCUUUCAUUGUAAUCUCUGCCGAGGCCCCAUGCUGCUGUAUGUUUAUUGAGUUUGUUCAGAAAUACUCGAUUUGGGUAGAGGGAAGACCACAAUGGCAAAAAGCUGUCCUCUAUAUUGUCUUGUCUCUACCGGCCAUCAUUAUGUGUCCUGGGCUGUCAACUGUGUUUGGGUCUGGGCUCCUCUUCUUGUGUGGUGUCCUGUAUGGUAUGAUGGCUCUUGGCAAAAAGGGAAGUCGGGAGGAUAUGAUCGCUGCAGCUCAGCAAAACACUGGGCCGGUCAACUCUCAAAGUGCCAUCUUGGUGGACGACCCUGAGGCCUGGCGAUCCACUUGAACCAGCUAACAGUUUUAUAACAAGCACCAUCGAUCGUUUUGAUAACAACCACUUACAUAGGCUCCCGGGAAGACAUGAUAGCAGCUGCUCAGAAUUCAACACGACAAAACUCCAUGAAGAACUCUUUGGUGGAUGGAGCAUCUCCCUUAUCUGCUUAAACUACAGUAUCACACCCCCUUCCAGCUCGUCCAGGAGCAGUGAUUGUGUUGCAUUUGUUGUUGUUGUGGUUAGGAUGUUUGGGAGUUUGAAAUAUGAAUUUUUUUUUAUAAAUUAGACCAGUAUUUUGAAAAGGCUUGAUAAUAGUUUCAUACAAAUGUGAAUAAUGUCCCACAUUGCUACUAAACCUGAAUUGCAGUUAAUACCAGGAGAAGACCGUACUGCAUUACUAUAUACGGUAAUAAUAAUUUAAACCAUAUAAGGGAGAGUUAUAGACAUUAAUAACAACUUUUUUUUAUUACAGAUUUAAUGAUCUUGUUCUGUUUUUAGCAUUCUUUGUAUUAAUGAUUUUUCCAUUUGUUUAUAUAUGUUAAGAAUACAGUACAGUAUAUCAUUAGUAUUUGUCUUGUAAUCAUGCAUACACACUACCUGUACCAUGUAUUUGUCAGUUCUCGCUCUCCCUGUUUUCUUUGUUUAAUAUCCUUGUUAAUGACUUGGUAAAAGAUAUUUAUACCUGUAUUUGUAUCAGAGGGCACAUUACACCAACUCCUGUUUCAUAGGAUACUUGGAACAAUUGUUCCUUGCAGUUUACAAAAGUACAGUAUCACUCUGACAGCCAUUUUCAUAAGGUUAUGUAGUUUUCUGCUCUUUGGUUAUUUAAUUUUGUAGAUAAGAUUAUAAAAUUAAUGGGAUCACUGCUGAGAAUGCACAGACUAGGACAUGGUGAGAGUCAGUAUUAUCACUGGUACCUCUGCCAGGUUAAUGUGGAUAAGGAAUAAUGGAAAUAUAAUUUGACCACCAAGCUAACAAUUAAAGGAAGUCACUAGUCCUAGGGUCUUGGCAUACACUGACCCCAGUGUUUUAUGUAAACACCAUUUUAUAAAAUUAAUUUUAAGAAAUAACUUGAUGGAUAUGUUAUUCCCAGUACUAGGGAACAUACACAAACUAUAUUUUGUAAACUGAAGUCUAUUUCAUUAUUACUACCAAUCAUGUGAAAUGCUGUUAACUUUAAAGUUUGCAAUAAAAAAUGAUGGCCAGCUUCAGUAUUAAGAUAUAUAUUUUGAUUUUAUAUUCAGUGCGGUAAUUAAUGUUUUCUACCUUAAACAACUAUUUGUGCACAACAGAUUUCAUAGAAUCUAGAUGAACGAUUUUGUGAAUUAAACCUCUCAGGGUACAUAAUUUCAGCGGGAACGAAAUCCAAUUUGAGUUUUUUCAUUCAUGAAGAAAAUAAAUUGAAUGCUCCUGAUUUUUUAAUCAUAAUUUGACUCGGCGAGCAUGUGGUAUUAUGUAUUUCAAAUGUGUCAGAUCAUAUUACCUAAUAAAAUUUAAAUUUUCUUGAUAUAUUAGAUCAGCAUGAUAGGGGAUCUGAUCUCUCUAACACUAAAAAUAUAUCUUUAAAGAACUGAGUCAUUAUCACAAUACAGCAUAGUUAUAUGGUUCCAGCAAAUUGAAGUGAUUUAACAAAAUAUGAUGUGCAG